UGGGGAAUAUUGCACAAUGGGCGCAAGCCUGAUGCAGCCAUGCCGCGUGUGUGAAGAAGGCCUUCGGGUUGUAAAGCACUUUCAGCGAGGAGGAAGGUGGUGAGCUUAAUACGCUCAUCAAUUGACGUUACUCGCAGAAGAAGCACCGGCUAACUCCGUGCCAGCAGCCGCGGUAAUACGGAGGGUGCAAGCGUUAAUCGGAAUUACUGGGCGUAAAGCGCACGCAGGCGGUUUGUUAAGUCAGAUGUGAAAUCCCCGGGCUCAACCUGGGAACUGCAUUUGAAACUGGCAAGCUAGAGUCUCGUAGAGGGGGGUAGAAUUCCAGGUGUAGCGGUGAAAUGCGUAGAGAUCUGGAGGAAUACCGGUGGCGAAGGCGGCCCCCUGGACGAAGACUGACGCUCAGGUGCGAAAGCGUGGGGAUUGCAAAACAGGAUUAGAUACCCUGGUAGUCCACGCUGUAAAACGAUGUCGAUUUUGGAGGUUGUGCCCUUGAGGCGUGGCUUCCGGAGCUAACGCGUUAAAUCGACCGCCUGGGGAGUACGGCCGCAAGGUUAAAACU
rnacentral:rRNA from 1 species